UCCUAAAAUCGAAAGGUGGUCGGCACAUCCGGCUUAAAUACUGAAUGGAAAACACUGAAUCAUGGACAAAAAACAAAAUCGGGGUAACAAACUAAAACCGAGGGAAACGCAUCAAAUAAGAGACCAACGACACAACAUUAAAAUGUGACAAACACAGAAACGGACUAAGCAUUAGACAAAAUUCUAUGAGAAUAACAAAUAUAACAUCAAAACCAAAUACAUGAAUUAAUUUGGGAUAGAUAAGUAUUGUGACAUGUCUUAUAGUUAUGUGAAUUCAUUCUCAAAAAUAAGAGAAAACAAACGACACAACGGAAACACAACGUUAAAAUGUAACACACACAGAACCGAACU
rnacentral:lncRNA from 1 species